CUCGUUCCCUCCUUACAGUUACCUUGUUGCACCCAACCCCAACCCCGCCUUUCCCCCUGCACGCGUCCUACGCCGGCUGCCCGGCUUCGCUUCGCAACCCACGAGAGACGCGGCGGCGGGUUCCAGCUGCGCCCAAGUUCCUCGGGGCCCUUCAUUCGCGCAGCUGAGCAUGGAGGCCGCGGCCGCGGCCGCGGCGCCGCAUCUCCUGCACUGCGGCGGCUUCGGCCGCGUCGCCCACCUCCCGGCGCUCCCCGGUCGCCGCCGCCGCCGAGGACAGCAGCUUCCCCGCGUCCGCGCCGUCGCCACGGAGCCGAAGCCGUCCACCUCCUCCUCCUCCUCUCGCCCCAGGCCCAGGAGCCGUAAUGAUCUCUCCAACACCAGGUUCGGAGGAGUGUCCAAGGAGAUCCAGCGCGUGCGCAAGCAGAUGGAGCAGGACGAGCAGCUUGCCACGCUCAUGCGUGGCCUUCGCGGCCAGAACCUCCGCGACGAGCAGUUCGCUGAUGACAAUGUUCGCCUUCGACUCGUCGAGGUAGAAUCUGCGGAUAACAAUGAGGGGCUGCCUCUUGUUUAUAGUCCUGAAAUCAUAUCAGCAUACUGGGGAAAGCGUCCGAGGGCUGUCGCCACUCGUGUUGUGCAACUGCUGUCUGUUGCUGGUGGUUUCAUCUCUUCUCUCAUAUCCGAUCUUAUCAACAAGAAACUCAAGGAGAAUGAAGUAGCUCGUGCUAUUGAACUGAGGGAAAUUGUAACAUCUCUGGGUCCUGCUUACAUCAAGCUUGGGCAAGCGCUAAGUAUACGGCCAGAUAUUCUGUCCCCUGCAGCGAUGACUGAGUUGCAAAAAUUAUGUGAUAAGGUUCCUUCAUUCCCAGAUGAUAUAGCAAUGGCUCUUCUGGAAGAAGAGCUUGGUCAGCCUUGGCAAGCAAUCUACUCUGAGUUAUCCCCCUCCCCAAUUGCUGCUGCAUCUUUGGGACAGGUAUAUAAAGGCCGCUUGAAAGAAACUGGAGAACUGGUAGCUGUCAAAGUGCAGAGACCAUUUGUACUUGAGACUGUCACCAUCGAUUUAUUCAUCAUUAGAAACUUGGGUUUGGUACUCAGGAGAUUUCCAGAGGUCUCCGUUGAUGUUGUUGGCCUGGUAGAUGAGUGGGCUGCUCGAUUUUUUGAAGAACUUGAUUAUGUAAAUGAAGGGGAAAAUGGCACCUACUUUGCUGAAAUGAUGAAAGAAGAUCUGCCACAGGUUGUUGUACCAAAGACAUACCAUAAAUACACAUCUAGAAAAGUUCUUACCACACAAUGGAUAGAGGGAGAGAAGCUUUCACAAAGUACAGAGGAUGAUGUUGGAUCAUUGGUCAGUGUUGGUGUCAUAUGCUAUCUGAAACAGUUGCUUGAUACCGGAUUCUUCCACGCUGAUCCACAUCCAGGCAAUAUGAUUAGAACACCUGAUGGAAAGCUGGCCAUUCUUGAUUUUGGGCUUGUAACAAAACUGACAGAUGAUCAGAAGUAUGGAAUGAUUGAAGCAAUUGCUCACCUUAUUCAUCGUGAUUAUGAUGCAAUUGUUAAGGACUUUGUGAAGCUUGGUUUCAUCCCUGAGGGAGUUAACUUGGAUCCAAUCUUGCCUGUACUGGCCAAGGUUUUUGAUCAGGCACUUGAAGGAGGCGGUGCUAAGAAUAUUAACUUUCAAGAAUUGGCAGCGGAUCUAGCACAGAUAACUUUUGAUUAUCCAUUCAGGAUACCUCCGUACUUUGCUUUGAUUAUUAGAGCAAUUGGAGUACUAGAAGGUAUAGCUUUGGUGGGAGAUCCUGAAUUUGCCAUUGUGGAUGAAGCAUACCCAUAUAUUGCACAGAGGCUAUUAACAGAUGAAUCACCUCGGCUAAGGAGUGCCUUGCGUUACACAAUUUAUGGCAAAACUGGUGUUUUCGACGCAGAAAGGUUCAUUGAUGACUUGAUGUUAUGCAAGCCUUCGAGAAUUUUAUUCGUGCAGCAAAGAGCGGCGGUGGGGAGAACUUGAAGGGAAACAUGGCCGAGCUGGCUGAUAUAGGAGCUCAACCUAGCACCAGUUUGGUUCCUGUAUUUCCAAUGGUCAUAGCCCAGCCUGAGCAGCCAGUUAAAGCCCGUGCAGCUCUUGCUUUUCUACUCUCUGAGAGGGGGAACUUCUUUCGGGAGUUCAUUCUUGAUGAGAUUGUCAAAGCCAUUGAUGCAGUUUCAAGGGAGCAAUUAAUACAGAUUGCUGCAUCUUUCGGGGUAGGGAAUGCAACCCCUGUUUUUAGCAUGGUUCCUGUUAGGGCCAGAGCGUUGCUUCCAACAAUCACAGAGGAAGACAGAGUCAUCUUGAACAAUGUCGAGAAGGUUGUGAAAUUCCUAACAUCCGGGACUGCAACUACAACCAUGAAUGGGGACGUAAACAUGGUGUCUGUAGUCCAAGAACUUCUUCCUGUGUUGCCGGGCAUCUCAUCAAAGAUCCUACCAGAUGUCUUGAGCCGGUUGUCAUCAAGAGUAUUUGCACGAUUGAUCAGAGAGGCAUUUUUGUGAAGUUUUGGUUCUUUUUCUAACAGCAAAGUACAAUUAGUUAUACCUACCUACCUGAACAACACACGCAUAAUGAUAGAAAAUUGUACAGCAGUACGAUGUAUAUAAUUUAUAUCUAUGCAAAUUAACCAAAGUUUAGCCGACAA